AGAACGUGCAAGAAAUAUGGAGCAACAACAUAUUGGCACCGAAUCGUGCAUUUGCGUCUCGUAAUCCUUACGGGCAACGAAGACUUCAAAAGCCACAUCAAAAAGUAUCCUCAGAUUUAUGGUGUUGGGCUUUCAACUACAUGCUAUCAUUCCAUUGGGCAAAUGAUCCAAGCGUACAAGAAGCCUUGCAUGUCAGAGAGGGUAAAGUGAAGUACUGGGAACGUUGCAACCAAGCAACGUCAGAGUCAUACAUAUAUGACGUCGAAACUGUCGUCCACGUUCAC